UACGGGGGGAGCAAGCGUUGUUCGGAUUUACUGGGCGUAAAGGGCGCGUAGGCGGCCAGCACAAGUCAGUUGUGAAAUCUCCGGGCUUAACCCGGAAAGGUCAACUGAUACUGUGCGGCUAGAGUGCGGAAGGGGCAACUGGAAUUCUCGGUGUAGCGGUGAAAUGCGUAGAUAUCGAGAGGAACACCUGCGGCGAAGGCGGGUUGCUGGGCCGACACUGACGCUGAGGCGCGAAAGCCAGGGGAGCGAACGGG
rnacentral:rRNA from 1 species